GAUCCUGUGGCUCAAUUGGAAGAGCUUCGCCUCUGAAUGGAGAGGUUGUUGGUUCAAACCCCAGCCAGGUUCU